ACACGUGAUUCAGAGUUUGAUCCUGGCUCAGGACGAACGCUGGCGGCGUGCCUAACACAUGCAAGUCGAACGAAGCAUUUAAGUGGAUCCCUUCGGGGUGAAGGUUUUAUGACUUAGUGGCGGACGGGUGAGUAACGCGUGAGUAACCUGCCUUUCAGAGGGGGGAUAACAGUUGGAAACGACUGCUAAUACCGCAUAACGUAUUUGAAUCGCAUGAUUCGGAUACCAAAGCUGAGGCGCUGAAAGAUGGACUCGCGUCUGAUUAGAUAGUUGGUGGGGUAACGGCCUACCAAGUCGACGAUCAGUAGCCGGACUGAGAGGUUGAUCGGCCACAUUGGGACUGAGACACGGCCCAG
rnacentral:rRNA from 1 species